UUAGGAAUCUUGCACAAUGGGGGAAACCCUGAUGCAGCGAUGCCGCGUGCGGGAUGAAGGCCCUAGGGUUGUAAACCGCUUUCAGUAGGGAAGAAAGUGACGGUACCUACAGAAGAAGCCCCGGCCAACUAUGUGCCAGCAGCCGCGGCGAUACAUAGGGGGCUAGCGUUGUCCGGAUUUACUGGGCGUAAAGAGCUCGUAGGCGGUUUAAUAAGUCGACAAGUGAAAUCUCCAGGCUCAACCUGGAGCA
rnacentral:rRNA from 1 species